UGUUGCUGCUGCUGCUGCUGCUGGUGCUGGUGCAGCAAUUGCAGUUGCAUUCAUCAUCGACUGCACCAGCAGCAGCACCACCACCAGCAGCAGUGGGG
rnacentral:miRNA from 1 species